rnacentral:rRNA from 1 species
AAUCUUCCACAAUGGGCGAAAGUCUGAUGGAGCAAUGCCGCGUGAAUGAAGAAGGUCUUCGGAUCGUAAAGUUCUGUUAUUAGAGAAGAACAAAUCGAGGAGUAACUGUCUCGAUUUUGACGGUACCUAACCAGAAAGUCACGGCUAACUACGUUCCCGCACCCGCGGUAAUACGUAGGUGACGAGCGUUGUCCGGAAUUUUUGGGCGGAAAGGGAGCGCAGGCGGUUGGAAUAUUCUGAUGGGAAAGACCACGGCUUAACCGUGGAAGGUCAUUGGAAACUGUCCAACUUGAAUGCAGAAGAGGUAAGUGGGAUUCCAAGUGUAGCGGUGAAAUGCGUAGAUAUUUGGAGGAACACCAGUGGCGAAGGCAACUUACUGGUCUGUAAUUGACGCUGAGGCGCGAAAGCGUGGGGAGCGAACA